rnacentral:rRNA from 1 species
UGGGGCAUAUUGGACAAUGAGCGCAAGCUUGAUCCAGCCAUGCCGCGUGAGUGAUGACGGCCCUAGGGUUGUAAAGCUCUUUCAACGGUGAAGAUAAUGACGGUAGCCGUAGAAGAAGCCCCGGCUAACUUCGUGCCAGCAGCCGCGGUAAUACGAUGGGGGCUAGCGUUGUUCGGAAUAACUGGGCGUAAAGCGCACGUAGGCGGAUUGUUAAGUGAGGGGUGAAUUCCCAGGGUUCAACCCUGGAACUGCCUUUCAUACUGGCAAUCUUGAGUUCGAGAGAGGUGAGUGGAAUUCCGAGUGUAGAGGUGAAAUUCGUAGAUAUUCGGAGGAACACCAGUGGCGAAGGCGGCUCACUGGCUCGAAACUGACGCUGAGGUGCGAAAGCGUGGGGAGCAAACAGGGUUAGAUACCCCGGUAGUCC